rnacentral:lncRNA from 1 species
CUGUGCUCUUAAUGGUUCCCAUUCAUUACUCCUGUCCUUUCUCUCCCAUCAAACUCAUCACUUUAUGUCCUUCCUCUCUCCCCGCCCCCCAGGGCCUGACAGUGUAGGAUGGAUUCAGAAGUAUUCCUUUCUGUGUUCCCUACCCUUGGAGUCUGGCUACAGAACGACAUCGGGAUAUGCUUUUGUUAAAUCUGUGGGCAUUAAAAUGGCAUUCCUGUCGCUCACCUGGAUUUCAUCUCACGUCCUCUCUCUGGCCGUAGCCUCAGACCUCCAUGGCAGCUUUGACUAUGAAGGCUUGGCCGUGUCACGUGACCUUUCUGCAUUCUGCUGCUGAGUAUAAAGAAAACAUUUGGAACACUUUUCUCAUUUCUAUUUCACGAAAUGGGUAGGAUCAAAUGAGACGACGUGAGUUUGGCAGGGCUACAUGCUUAGACACCUCCCGUGCCCGGCUCAGUUGGCUGGCAACAGCUUAAAGGACCGCACUUCUCAGCAUAGGAAGCAGCAAUCAUCCGCACCUGUUGCCAAUUAAAGCAUUAAUGGCCCAUCAAUCAAGGAGAAAUCACUGGGAAUGGAGAUGACACAGGCUCUGUGCUCCUGUCAGUUUUUUGGAAGUCAUCCUCUGCUUCAAG